AUUGAACGCUGGCGGCAGGCCUAACACAUGCAAGUCGAGCGGAUGAAGGGAGCUUGCUCCUGGAUUCAGCGGCGGACGGGUGAGUAAUGCCUAGGAAUCUGCCUGGUAGUGGGGGAUAACGUCCGGAAACGGGCGCUAAUACCGCAUACGUCCUGAGGGAGAAAGUGGGGGAUCUUCGGACCUCACGCUAUCAGAUGAGCCUAGGUCGGAUUAGCUAGUUGGUGGGGUAAAGGCCUACCAAGGCGACGAUCCGUAACUGGUCUGAGAGGAUGAUCAGUCACACUGGAACUGAGACACGGUCCAGACCCCUACGGGAGGCAGCAGUGGGGAAUAUUGGACAAUGGGCGAAAGCCUGAUCCAGCCAUGCCGCGUGUGUGCAGAAGGUCUUCGGAUUGUAAAGCACUUUAAGUUGGGAGGAAGGGCAGUAAGUUAAUACCUUGCUGUUUUGACGUUACCAACAGAAUAAGCACCGGCUAACUUCGUG
rnacentral:rRNA from 1 species